UACGUAGGGUGCGAGCGUUAAUCGGAAUUACUGGGCGUAAAGCGUGCGUAGGCGGUUCGUUAAGUUCGUUGUGAAAGCCCCGGGCUCAACCUGGGAAUGGCAAUGGAAACUGGCGGGCUGGAGUAUGGCAGAGGGGGGUGGAAUUCCGCGUGUAGCAGUGAAAUGCGUAGAGAUGUGGAGGAACACCGAUGGCGAAGGCAGCCCCCUGGGCUAACACUGACGCUCAUGCACGAAAGCGUGGGGAGCAAACAGG
rnacentral:rRNA from 1 species